UCUUUUUUUUUUUUUUUGCUGUUGCUCCAGGAGACAUCCAAUGGGACAUGGGAGUAAGCAAGAGUGUUGGUCACAGUUCUGGUACUAUGUGCUAGAAGACAUUUUGAUAGAAAUAUCAGCCAUUGAGACCAAAUUAGUCCAUUUUGGUCUCUGUGAUGUUCCAGAUGAUCUCCAUUUCAAUAGUCCUCUCACUUUGUCAUCAGAAAAUUUUGACUAUAUGUGCCAAUUCUGUGAAGAAGAUUCAAGAGCCAAUAAAGGACUUGGGAAC
rnacentral:lncRNA from 1 species